GCGCGGCUGGCUGGUCCGCCUCACGGCGUGUACUGGACCCGGUCGUGCUUUCCUCUUGGGUCGCCUGAUGGUGCUUUAUUGUGCCGCCAGGAUGGCCCAGGACUUUUACUUUGAAAAAAUUAGAGUGUUCAAAGCAGGCAUUUGCUCGGAUACAUUAGCAUGGAAUAAUGGAAUAGGACGUCGAUCCUAUUUUGUUGGUUUCUAGGACCGCCGUA
rnacentral:rRNA from 1 species